ACGUAGGGAGCAAGCGUUGUCCGGAAUUACUGGGCGUAAAGGGCGCGUAGGCGGGAAUUUAAGUUAGAUGUGAAAACUCUGAGCUCAACUUGGAGACUGCAUUUAAAACUGGAUUUCUUGAGGGCAGGAGAGGAAAGUGGAAUUCCUAGUGUGGGGGUGAAAUGCGUAGAUAUGAGGAGGAGGACCAGUGGCGAAGGCGACUUUCUGGACUGUACCUGAGGCUGAGGCGGGAAAGCGUGGUGUGAGGUCAG
rnacentral:rRNA from 1 species